rnacentral:rRNA from 1 species
AUUGAACGCUGACGGCAGGCUUAACACAUGGAAGUCGAGCGAGCGGGGUACGGGUGUGGAAUGUCUGGUAAACUGCCUGAUGGCGGGGGGUAACUAAUGGAAACGGUAGCUAAUACCACAUAACAUCAGUUGUGCCUAGAUGUGAUUAGCUAGGAGGUGGGGUAACGGCUCACCUAGGCGACGAUCCCUAGCUGGUCUGAGAGGAUGACCAGCCACACGGGAAGUGAGACACGGUCCAGACUCCUACGCGAGGCAGCAGUGGGGAAUAUGGCACGAUGGGCGAAAUCCUGAUGCAGCCAUGCCGCUGAUGGGAAGAAGGCCUUCGGGUUGUAAAGCACUUUCAGCGGGGAGGCGUUACCCGCAGAAGAAGCACCUGCUAAUUCCGUGCCAGCAGCCGCGGUAAUAC